UGGGCGUGAUGAAACUCUGAGCCUGACCAAUGAUGGUGGAGGCCAAAGCUGAUUUAAUGAGUCUGAUCC